UCAAAACUUUUUAACUAGAGUAUGAUAGAGGAAAGUGGAAUUUCUAGUGUAGAGGUGAAAUUCGUAGAUAUUAGAAAGAACACCGAUUGCGAAGGCAGCUUUCUGGAUCAUUACUGACACUGAGGAGCGAAAGCAUGGGUAGCGAAGAGGAUUAGAUACCCUCGUAGUCCAUGCUGUAAACGAUGUGUGCUAGACGUUGGAAAUUUAUUUUCAGUGUCGCAGCAAAAGCGUUAAGCACACCGCCUGGGGAGUACGACCGCAAGGUUAAAACUCAAAUGAAUUGACGGGGACCCGCACAAGUAGUGGAGCAUGUGGUUUAAUUCGAAGAUACGCGCAGAACCUUACCAACACUUGACAUGUUUGUCGCAACUCUAAGAGAUUAGAGUCUUCGGUUCGGCCGGACAAAACACAGGUGCUUGCAUGGCUGUCGUCAGCUCGUGUCGUGAGAUGUUGGGUUAAAGUCCCGCAACGAGCGCAACCCCUACUUUUAGUUUGCUACCAUUUAGUUGGGCACUCUAAAAGAACUGCCAGUGA
rnacentral:rRNA from 1 species